AUUGAUUAUCCUCUACAAUAUUAUUAAUAAAUCUUCCAGUCAACAAAGAUGGCAUAUCCUUCCAUUUUGUGAACUCUUUCUCUCAACAGUAUUUCAGUGUAGAGGUUUUGGCAGCUUCAUAAAGAAUUGGGAACUGAUCCCCUUCUUUUUGUUUUCUGGAACAAAAAAUUGAUGUGAGACAGUCUUGCUCUGUUGCCCAGGCUGGAGUGCAGUGGCGUGAUCUUAGCUCACUGCAACCUCCGUUUUCUGUGCUCAAGCAACUCUCCUGCCUCAGUCUCUCGAGUUAGCUGGGAUUACAGGUGCCAGCCACCAAGCCUGCUAAUUUUUGUAUUUUUAGUACAGAUUGGGGUUCAUCAUGUUGGCGAGGCUGGCCUCGAUCUCCUGUCCUCAAGGGAUUCCCCCGCCUCGGCCUUCCAAAGUGCUGGGAUUACAGGCAUGACCCACCUCACCUAGCCUAGUCUUUUGUGUGUCUUGUCCUAUACUUUAUUUUUCUACAUUUGUUUAAACCAGUAGAGUCAUUGUUACUGUUAUUUUAAAUGUUAAUAUUAAUAUAUAUUUAUCCACAUAUACUUUUCCAUUCCUCUUAAGUAACCUGUCUAGUUCUGUGCUUCCAUGUGGGGCCAUUUUCUUUUAGCUUGAUAUAUUUUGUUCUCUUAUAACAAGUGUUUUGUUAACUUUUGUUCAUCUAAACUUAUUUUUAUUUCAUCUUCAUGUUAGAAGGUAUUUUUUUCUUAGUGUGGAAUUCUGGGCUGGUUGGUUGAUUUUCUUGUUUUUUUUGUCUUAGCGCUUUACAGAUGUCAUUUUGUCAUCUUCACUUUCUAUUAUUUCUGAUGAAAAAUUAGUUGUUAGUUUUAUUGCUGUUCCCUUCCAGGUGAUAUGUCUUGUUUUCACUGACUGCUUUUAUUUUUUUCUGACUUUAGUUUUUAAUACUUUGAUAUAUCUGGGUUCAAUUCAUUUCUUCAUUAAAUCUCUGUUUUGCUGUUUCUAAACUAAUGAUUUCUUAAUUUCAAUGAUUAUAUUUUCUUGUUCUGGAAUUGUCAUUUGACUUUCUUACAGAAUUACGGGGCUUUGCUGAAAUUCUCCAUCUGUCCUGUGUUUGUUUGUUUAUUUAUUAUUUAUUUUUUGAGACGGAGUCUCGCUCUGUGACCCAGGCUGGAGUGCAGUGGCGCGAUCUCGGCUCACUGCAGCCUUCGCCUCCUGGGUUCUAGCAAUUCUCCUGUCUCAGCCUCCCGAGUAGCUGGGACUACAGGUGCACGCCACCACGUCCGGCUAAUUUUUUACAUUUUUAGUAGAAACAGGGUUUCACCGUGUUAGCCAGGAUGGUCUCGAUCUCCUGACCUCAUGAUCCACCUGCCUCGGCCUCCCAAAGUGCUGGGAUUACAGGCGUGGGCCACCGUGUCCAGCCUUAUUUAUUUCUUGAACAUACCAAUCACAGUUAUUUUAAGUCUUUAGUAACUCCAUAAUCUUUUUUUUUUUUUUUUUUUGAGACAAAGUUAUGCUCUGUCUCCCAGGCUGGAGUGCAGUGAUGCGAUCUCAGCUCACUGCAGCCUGCACCUCCCAGGUGCAAGCGAUUCUCAUUUCUCAACCUCCCAAGUAGCAGGGACUACAGGCAUGUGACACCGUGCCUGGCUGAUUUUUUUUUUUUUUUUUUUUUUGGUAUUUUUAGUAGAGACAGAGUUUCACCAUGUUGGUCAGGCAGAUCUUGAGCUUCUGGCUUCAAGUGAUCUGCCUGCCUUGGCCUCCCAAAGUGCUGGGAUUACAGGUGUGAGCCACCACAUCUGGCCUGGAACUCCAAAAUCUGAAUGACUUAGGUAUCUUUUUAAAUUUUCUGUUAUUUCUCUUGGUUGUCCAUUCUUUUUUUAGUUGAGGUACAGUUUAUAUAAGAUUUACCAUUUUAACCAUUUUAAAGUACAGAAUUCAGUGGUUUUUAGUAUAUUCACAAUUAUGUAAGCAUCAUAACUAUAAUUUCAGAAUGUUUUCACUACCCUAAUAAAGUGAAAACUGUUGGCAGUCAAUCUCAAUUCUCCCCCUCUCCCCAUCCCCUGGCAACAGCAAAUCUACUUUCUGUCUCUCUGAAUUUGCCUAGUCUGGACAUUUCUUAUAAAUAGAAUCAUACAAUUUAUGUGGCCUUUUGUGUCCAUCUUCUUUCACUUGGCAUAAUGUUUUCAAGGUUCAUCCAUGUUGUAGCAUGUAUAAGUAUUUCUUCUUUGUGGCUGAAUAAUAUUCCGUUGUAUUCAUAUGCCACGUUUUGUUUAUCCAUUCAUCAGUAGGUGGACAUUUGAGUUUUUUCCAGUUUUUAACUAUUAUGAAUAAUGCCACUGUGAACAUUUGUGUAGAAAUUUUGCGUGAGUGUGUGUUUUCAAUUCUUUUUAGUAUGUACCAGGAAUGGAGUUGCUAGAUCAUAUGGUAACUGUUGAAGUUUUUAGGAACUGUCAAACUCUUUUCCACAGUGGCUGUACCCUUUUACAUUUCCACCAGCGUAUAUGAGAGUUGCAAUUUUUAUAUAUUCUUCACAACACUUGUUAUUUUUCUGGACUUUUAAUUUUUAUGUUAUUGCAGCUAUCAAAGUGGGUGUUGGUCAUUUAUUUUUGUUUUUUAGAAAGCCUUGCAAUUUUUAAGAGUGUUAGACCUUGUGGUUGAACAAUUAUAGAAGCUCUAGUUUGUGUUACUUUGUUCAAAAGAGAAUUAAGUUUUCCUUUGGUAUGUGAAGUACUAGGAGGUUACCUUGAAUCUAUUAAAGGUUGUUUAUAAGACUUUUUAGGGCUGAUCUAUUUCAAUUUUGACCUUACUCUUAAGGAGUAGCUGGCCCUUCUGUAGUCUCAGCAGAGAGCUGAAGUUAUUUAUGAAGGCUCCUCUAACUUGGUGGGGCCUACACUCCAGUCUUUGUCUCCAUAGCAGUGAGCAGCAGCUGGAAUCUCUGCUGAGCUCUUAAGCCUCCUACCUGCUAUUUCGACUAGUUUUCUUGAGUGUUUCCCCUCUUGUGGUCCUUUCUCUCUGGAAAUUUAUUCUUUAGUUUCUAGCUCUUUGAUAGUCAAAAAUUCUGACUCUUUUUUUCCUUAGUCCAAUUGGACUGCACUUUCUACUUGAGCUGUAUUUCCCUGUUACUCAGCAAACUCAAGGAAAAAGCCAAGAUAAUUGUGGAGCUGGUCUUAUAUGCUUCCGUUCUUUCAGGAGUUGUAGCCCCUUCUGUUCCUCUUUGUGUAAGUCACUCUUUAGUGCCUUCAAACAGUUUUUACUUUUUGUCUAGAUUUUAUGAGUUUUAUUUAGCUCAGGGUUAGUUUGAUACAAGUUAUUCUAGCAUGGUGGUAACAGUAAUGAUGUUUUAUUAGUUGAAUUACAAGAAAAUGACCUCACUAUUAAGAGUGAGAAAAUGAAUUUUUAACAGAAAAUUUGGACAAGAAUAUAGGAAGGAGGAUUUCUGUUUUCAGACAGAAGAGGGUUAAGGUAGCCAGGUUUGAAGGAUGAUAAAUAAGGAUGAUUAAAAGUUAGAUAAUAUGACUCAUAUUAUUGUUUUUUUUUUUUUUGGUGAAAACUGAACAAGGUUUUUAAGUGUUUAAAGAAUACAAGUUGGAGAAAUAAUAUGAGAAUUUAAGAGAAAAUAAUAAAGAGCAUUCAUCUGGAUUUAGUUGUGAAGAAAUUAAAAUUCUGAUUUUAAAAUGUGUGCUAUUAGAGUAGACUUGUUUAUUUCUGUAAAUGUUGGUGAUUAUUAACUGUUUGGAGGUUUGAGUAUUUAAAUGUGAUGGCCAAAUAACAAUGUGUAUCUAUUAAGUGUGCCAAAGAGAAUUGUGUUCACAAAAUGGAAAGGUAUACAGUAACUGGCCAUUUUUAAAUGUAGGAGGAAGAGAACAACUGAUAAUACAGGAAUGGACAUUACAUUUAGAACAUCAAAGUACAGAAGGAAGGCAGAAAUAGAUUCCUAAAGAAUAAUGCCUCCCUCUCCUCCUACAGGAUUAAAAAUGGGGGUUUGGAGCGAAACUAACCGUUUGCCUUCUCCACCAAAAUAUCCCUAAGAAGGGACCCAGGUGUGGCAGACCGCCUCAUAUCUAUGUUUUUCCUUUUGCCCUUUUGUGAACUCUGAAGGUUAGUCAGUGGUUUUCUUCAAAAUUGCAUUAGGAAAUUUGCCAAGGGCAUCCUUUUGAGGCAGCUGUCUCUGUACCCUUGGAGGCCAUCAGUAAUGUUUCCAAUCUAUAGCAGUAGUCGGCACAAAAAUGUUGAACUGUUGUCUUCAUGUUUUAAAACAUUCCUCUGCUGCCACUAUCCUCCACCCCGAAAUAGUGUAAAAUAUGGCACAUUUUGGGACUUAGAGUCCUUUCAUCAUUUUUUGUUACUGUACAUUUUUAGGUAAAAUCCAUCAUUAAUAAUAAGUAUAUCCAAUACAUCAAUAAUGAAAGGACAUUUAAUUUUUUUCACAUAGUUUAGAUAAUAAUAGACACAUUAGAAAUGCUUAUAAGUGAGAAUUUUUUGUAUAGAAUGUUAACAUUUUAAUUUUCACUAUUGAGAUUUUAUAAAGUAAAUAUGCUUUAAAGUUUUGGGGGUUAUUAACUAUGUUCAUGAUGAAAAUGCAUUAGAAGAAUUUGAAAUGCAUUUGUGUUUUUGUUCUUAUGCAAUUUAGUAACAUAAGCAACUUUUUUACCCUAUGCAUCUUUCAUAUAUUAGUCUGUUUCUCUUGUUUUACUAAAC